UACGGGGGGGGCGAGCGUUGUUCGGAAUUAUUGGGCGUAAAGGGAGCGUAGGCGGUGCGGUAAGUCUGGUGUGAAACCUCUGGGCUCAACCCAGAGCUGGCAUCAGAAACUGCCGUGCUAGAGUGCGGGAUAGGAGAGUGGAAUUCCCGGUGUAGCGGUGAAAUGCGUAGAUAUCGGGAGGAACAUCGGUGGCGAAGGCGGCUCUCUGGACCGCAACUGACGCUGAGGCUCGAAAGCUAGGGGAGCAAACAGG
rnacentral:rRNA from 1 species